UAAUUAUACUAUGUAUAUGUAUAUGAAAAUAAAAUAAAGUCCAUGUUGAUAUCAAUAAACAUAAAUAGCUUUAGUUACUAAGGUGUAAACGUCAACAACACGAAUAAUAUGUACUAGGAAGUGAACAAAACAAUUAUGAGUGGGAACAUGUAUAUCAUGGAUAUCAAAGAUAUGCCUUUACUGCUAUCUGUGGCCAAUAAUAACGUAUGUGAGACAUGGUCACUAACAAAAGAUGAUGAGAAGCAUUUCGACAAUCGUGGAGUGCAAAUGGCCAACUUAUUAAAAACGUAAUCAUGAGAAAAAUAAGCAGAACAAGAUCCCUGAAAAGGUCAAGGUUCCGGUGGAUCGAUAUAAUUG